UACGUAGGGUGCAAGCGUUGUCCGGAAUUAUUGGGCGUAAAGAGCUCGUAGGCGGUCUGUCGCGUCUGCUGUGAAAACCUAGGGCUUAACUCUGGGCGUGCAGUGGGUACGGGCAGGCUAGAGUGCGGUAGGGGAGAUUGGAAUUCCUGGUGUAGCGGUGGAAUGCGCAGAUAUCAGGAGGAACACCAAUGGCGAAGGCAGAUCUCUGGGCCGUAACUGACGCUGAGGAGCGAAAGCAUGGGGAGCGAACAGG
rnacentral:rRNA from 1 species